ACCUGGCUGGUUCAGUUGGUAGAGCAUGUGACUCUUAAUCUCAGGAUCAUGAGUUCUAGCCUCAUGUUGGACG
rnacentral:tRNA from 1 species